AUCCAGAUGACGAGUCCCAAAUAGGGCGAAACGCGCUUCAUGGAU
rnacentral:hammerhead_ribozyme from 1 species